GCGUCCAUUGUCUAACAGAUAGGACAGAGCUCUUCUAAACUUUUGGUAUAGGUUCAAAUCCUAUUGGAGGCA
rnacentral:tRNA from 1 species